AUGAGUGUGAUGUGCGUCCUCAUCUGGACUCUCCUCUGCUGCUGCUUCACAGAGUCCAGAGGACAGGUCACAGUGACUCAGCCUGGAGCAGUGAGCUCUGCUGUGGGAGAAUCUGUCUCCAUCUCAUGUAGGACCAGUCGGGAUGUUUAUGAUGAUGGAAGCGAUCACUAUUUAGCCUGGUAUCAACAGAAAGAUGGAGAAUCUCCUAAACUACUCAUUUACUCUGCUAGCACUCUAGAAUCAGGGAUUCCAAGUCGUUUUUCAGGCAGUGGAUCAAACUCUGAUUUCACUCUGACCAUCAGUGGAAUUCAGGCUGAAGAUGCAGCAGUUUAUUACUGUCAGAGUUUUCACUUCAUCAACAGUCAGGAUGUGUUCACACAGUGAAAAACAGUCGUACAAAAACCUCCCUCAUUCUGCUGAAUAGAAACUGAACUGACUGCUGCAGCUGGAAGAUGCUGCAGACACUGAAACACUUCACUGAACAUCCAUUCUAACACAAUAGAAACCAUGUUGAAUCAGAUUUAGUAUAAU